rnacentral:rRNA from 1 species
GCUCAGGACGAACGCUGGCGGCGUGCCUAAUACAUGCAAGUAGAACGCUGAAGAGAGGAGCUUGCUCUUCUUGGAUGAGUUGCGAACGGGUGAGUAACGCGUAGGUAACCUGCCUUGUAGCGGGGGAUAACUAUUGGAAACGAUAGCUAAUACCGCAUAACGAUGGAUGACACAUGUCAUUUAUUUGAAAGGGGCAAUUGCUCCACUACAAGAUGGACCUGCGUUGUAUUAGCUAGUAGGUGAGGUAAUGGCUCACCUAGGCGACGAUACAUAGCCGACCUGAGAGGGUGAUCGGCCACACUGGGACUGAGACACGGCCCAGACUCCUACGGGAGGCAGCAGUAGGGAAUCUUCGGCAAUGGGGGCAACCCUGACCGAGCAACGCCGCGUGAGUGAAGAAGGUUUUCGGAUCGUAAAGCUCUGUUGUAAGUCAAGAACGGGUGUGAGAGUGGAAAGUUCACACUAUGACGGUAGCUUACCAGAAAGGGACGGCUAACUACGUGCCAGCAGCCGCGGUAAUACGUAGGUCCCGAGCGUUGUCCGGAUUUAUUGGGCGUAAAGCGAGCGCAGGCGGUUUGAUAAGUCUGAAGUUAAAGGCUGUGGCUCAACCAUAGUUCGCUUUGGAAACUGUCAAACUUGAGUGCAGAAGGGGAGAGUGGAAUUCCAUGUGUAGCGGUGAAAUGCGUAGAUAUAUGGAGGAACACCGGUGGCGAAAGCGGCUCUCUGGUCUGUAACUGACGCUGAGGCUCGAAAAGCGGGGGGAGCGAACAGGAUUAGAUACCCUGGUAGUCCACGCCGUAAACGAUGAGUGAUAGGUGUUGGAUCCUUUCCGGGAUUCAGUGCCGCAGCUAACGCAUUAAGCACUCCGCAUGGGGAGUACGACCGCAAGGUUGAAACUCAAAGGAAUUGACGGGGGCCCGCACAAGCGGUGGAGCAUGUGGUUUAAUUCGAAGCAACGCGAAGAACCUUACCAGGUCUUGACAUCCCGAUGCUAUUUCUAGAGAUAGAAAGUUACUUCGGUACAUCGGUGACAGGUGGUGCAUGGUUGUCGUCAGCUCGUGUCGUGAGAUGUUGGGUUAAGUCCCGCAACGAGCGCAACCCCUAUUGUUAGUUGCCAUCAUUCAGUUGGGCACUCUAGCGAGACUGCCGGUAAUAAACCGGAGGAAGGUGGGGAUGACGUCAAAUCAUCAUGCCCCUUAUGACCUGGGCUACACACGUGCUACAAUGGUUGGUACAACGAGUUGCGAGUCGGUGACGGCGAGCUAAUCUCUUAAAGCCAAUCUCAGUUCGGAUUGUAGGCUGCAACUCGCCUACAUGAAGUCGGAAUCGCUAGUAAUCGCGGAUCAGCACGCCGCGGUGAAUACGUUCCCGGGCCUUGUACACACCGCCCGUCACACCACGAGAGUUUGUAACACCCGAAGUCGGUGAGGUAACCUUUUGGAGCCAGCCGCCUAAGGUGGGACAGAUG